rnacentral:rRNA from 1 species
GACGAACGCUGGCGGCGUGCUUAACACAUGCAAGUCGAACGGUAAGGCCCUUCGGGGUACACGAGUGGCGAACGGGUGAGUAACACGUGGGUGAUCUGCCCUGCACUUCGGGAUAAGCCUGGGAAACUGGGUCUAAUACCGGAUAGGACCACUGCCUGCAUGGGUGGUGGUGGAAAGCUUUUGCGGUGUGGGAUGGGCCCGCGGCGUAUCAGCUUGUUGGUGGGGUGAUGGCCUACCAAGGCGACGACGGGUAGCCGGCCUGAGAGGGUGACCGGCCAAACUGGGACUGAGAUACGGACCAGACUCCUACGGGGGGCAGCAGGGGGGAAUAUUGCACAAUGGGCGCAAGCCUGAUGCAGCGACGCCGCGUGGGGGAUGACGGCCUUCGGGUUGUAAACCUCGUUCAGCACCGACGAAGCGCAAGUGACGGUAGGUGCAGAAGAAGGACCGGCCAACUACGUGCCAGCAGCCGCCGUAA